GUAGGUGGCAAGCGUUGUCCGGAAUUAUUGGGCGUAAAGCGCGCGCAGGCGGUUCUUUAAGUCUGAUGUGAAAGCCCACGGCUCAACCGUGGAGGGUCAUUGGAAACUGGAGAACUUGAGUACAGAAGAGGAAAGCGGAAUUCCACGUGUAGCGGUGAAAUGCGUAGAGAUGUGGAGGAACACCAGUGGCGAAGGCGGCUUUCUGGUCUGUAACUGACGCUGAGGCGCGAAAGCGUGGGGAGCAAACAGGGAUUAGAUACCCUGGUAGUCCACGCCGUAAGCGAUGAGUGCUAAGUGUUAGGGGGUUUUCCGGCCCCCCUUAGUGCUGCAGCUAACGCAUUAAGCACUCCGCCUGGGAGUACGGCCGCAAGGCUG
rnacentral:rRNA from 1 species